UACGUAGGUGACAAGCGUUGUCCGGAUUUACUGGGCGUAAAGAGCGCGCAGGCGGUCGAUCAAGUCGAGUGUGAAGGCCCCCGGCUCAACUGGGGAGGGUCAUUCGAUACUGAUCGACUCGAAGGCAGGAGAGGGUAGUGGAAUUCCCGGUGUAGUGGUGAAAUGCGUAGAUAUCGGGAGGAACACCAGUGGCGAAGGCGACUACCUGGCCUGUUCUUGACGCUGAGGCGCGAAAGCUAGGGGAGCAAACGGG
rnacentral:rRNA from 1 species